UUGAAGCUGAGGAGUCCAAAAACAGGACGAAACGGCCGUCCAA
rnacentral:hammerhead_ribozyme from 1 species